AUUACUUCAUUGCACUAUGCAGUUUCUUAUUUCACCGUUUAUUCCCGUAAUCCCGUAAUCCCGUAUCGCUCAUCAAGUUUCGAAUUUCGAUCGUUAAUAGUCGACAGCAGCCGAUACUGACGUCUGGUGAAACACGGUUGACUAUAAUAUUCUUUUCUUCGUGUAACGUGAAUUUGUUUCCUACUAUUAUAUUUAUAAAAAAAGACUACGUAGUCAGUGGUACACUUUAAAUUGAAUGAUACGGUGGAGGUCGUACCCGAAAAUUGGUUUAUUAAAAAAGGAUGUUGCGCAUGGCCGAAUACAAAAAAAAAAGUGAAUUGAAAAAUGCAAUUAUAAACAGAAUAAAGCCGAAAAAACACACAUUUAAUUUCUUUGAAGCACGGACUUUGACUUCCAAUAUUAAUGAUUUUCAAGUGGCUCAAAAGAAAUGCUCUGUGGCAAAAAGUCCGAUCUUUCCUCAUCUGAAGACACAUUAAAACUUAGAAAAGUGCGAAAACGAAAAGUUGUGAAAAAUUCGGAUUCUGCAGAUAUAUUAAAAAGUCGCAUAUUCAUCAUCAGUUCAACGAAUACUGUUGUCUGUAAAAACAUUGCAUUGCAUACACAAAAUAAAUUCAUUGGUUGGACAAAAAGCUCAGAUCAGUUAUUGAUGGAAUGAGGUCUACUCUUCAAUUGUUACUCAUCACGUGAGCACUCUGUCUUCAGUUUAUACUUCUGCAUACGAUUCUCAAAAAACCAUCUAUUCGAUUCAAAAAUAACCAAUGGGACUUCAGUGGAUCAUAUAUCAAAUACUACAUGGACUGGUAUUUAGAUUUUGUUUUAUUUUAUAAACAAUAUACAACAUUUAUUGCACCCAUCAACCAGAGUCGUUCCUUUUUUGAUUUAAUUAAAAAUAAAUUACUUUGGAAUACAAAUGUUAAUAGGUCUUAUAAGUUAUGAGCAUUGCUUUCAAAAAGAAAAAUAGAACUGUGUAUAUCUUAUCAUUUGACCAGAAGUCCAGGAAAUGUACAUACAUGUUUAAGAUAUUAUUUUAAAAAUGUCAAGGAUCAUUUAAUCUGGGAAAUUCAAAGCCAUGGUUCCGCCGAGUUAGAGUGUAGUAUGCGGAAUUAUUUUGAAAGUUUGUACUUAAAAAAUAGUGACAUAUAUCAUGAAUUUUUUGAAAACAAUAUGCUGGUAAACUCGUAACGGGUGUUAAAACGAGUGUUUAAAUGAUUUUGCAUUUUUUGGUUGCAGUUACUGGUUGCGGAUAUUGUAUAUUGUCAUUUGGGAUAAGUAUAUAUCGAAUGAUAUUUUAUUAAGUAAAGACUUCGAUUACUUAAAUUUAACGAUGCGGUAUGACAAUGAUCGUGACAAUUUCAAUGAUGCGUGUGUUCAGAACAUAAAAAUGGAAGGAUGAUUUUAUCAACUCAAGUGAUAUUAAUAUUGUUAAUUUUAAAAAUGAUUAUAUUUUAGAUUAUAUUAGAGAAAAACAUAGAAAUAUCUAUAUUCCUUAGGUUUAAUGAUAUUAAAAAAAAUUCCGGAUUUAUGACUUAGACUUACUGCAGAUUCACGAUGAAGUAUUCUAUAUGUUCAAUAUUAUAAAUCAAUUUCCAUAAACUUAUAAGAUUUACAAAAUCCCAUUAAAAUACUUAUUUAAAAAUACUCAAAAUGUGGUUUUGAGUAUUGAUCAUCUUAACAAAUCAUAUUUUAAAUUAAAAUGUAUUGUAAUUAAAGACACCGUAGACAUUUUAAAU